AGAGGGAGACUCCGUCUCAAAAUAAAGAAAGAAAGAAGGAAGAGAGAAGACCAAGAAAUGACUGAUAGGCAACCAACAAGAAUACCUGUGAAAUGGAGACAAGAAUGUUUGAGAACUGACUGACCAUCCAGUGGCACCUGAGAAAAGGAUAUGUCAAUGUUAUCUAAUCCUGGAUCAUGUUAUGCAAAAUUCUAAGAUGAAUCUGAAGACACCUGCUUUAUGGUUUGCAAACAUUGUACAAAUUCCUCCUCUUGUAUGUGUUGUGGUCUGUGCAUAAGAUGGAUUUUAUAACUAUAAUUAGGCUGCAUUAUAUGACAAAGGUAAAAUGAUCUUGCAGAUGCAAUUGAGGUUCCAAAUCAUUUGGUUUUCAGUUAAUAAAAAAAGGAAUUAUUUCAGUGGGCUUGAAUUAGUCAUGUGUAGACUCUAAAAAGAAAGAGACAUGGAA
rnacentral:lncRNA from 1 species